UUUCUUUUUCUUUAUUUAGUUAUGCUUGCCACAUCCAAAUACAGUGUAAGUAGAAAAAUAUCAUCUCUUGUGAAUUUCAAAAUAAUAAUACAUCGAACAACAUAUCAAUGAAAUACAAUGGAAGAUUGUGAUUCUGGAAGAUUUUCAGAAGUAGCAUAAAGAAUGACUAUGUCCUUUGUUAUUCGAACAUCAUUACAAACAGGCAAUAGUAGCAUUAGCAAAUUUCUCUAUUAAUUAAAUCAGAUGCAAAUCUAAACCUCUUCUCCUUUACAAGCAAAAUAAUUGAGAGAAUAAAGAAUCUGAGAAACAUGUAGAUAAAAGGUCUUCUCAAAGGAUAUGAGUGCAGCAGGGCUUUGAACCAGUACCUUGUGGGUCAAAGUCCAGAGACUUACCCACUGGACCAUAACACCUCUGGAUACAAUAUAUCUUUAUUGAAGAAAAUUUCAUAGGCUGAAAUUUAAAUCGUAUAUAUAAGAAAUAGUAAAUUGAAAGUAAAAUGUCAACGAUCAAAAGUCCAUUUCAUAUGCAGACUUAAAUUCAUUUUAAUUCAUUUUCAUUUUUUACUGUUGCUGCAAAAGUGAGAUGCAAGGCAUAUGCAUAUAUAUUUGUAAAUACAUUGUCGACCACAUGGACACAUAACAUUAAAACAAUUAAGUAACAUUCAUAUUCUGUUCCAUUUGAACUUCACAAGAAAAAAAUAUAGACAAAAUUAUCUAAAGAAUUCAAAUAAGAACUAAUAUUGCUUUGAAAGAGAACAAAACUGGUCUCAUUUUAAAAUAUGUAGAAUAUUUCAGUAAAAAAAAUUCAUCUCUUAUAUAUACAUAUCAUACAAUAGAGUUUGUGGUACUAAAAAGUAUUCAUAGUUCCCAAUCUACCAAUGAAACUGUAAUUGAAGUGCAUUCCUAAAUGAAAAUGAGGGUCAUCAAUGUUUUUUUUUCAUAACACAAAUUUUCUAAGUUUAGAGCCCCUCUUCAAUUUGAUGCAAAAUAUGAUACGCAUAUUCAAUGCACGAGUGAGUAAAACUAUUUUAAGAGAGAGGGCAACAAAAUGCAUUUCCUAGACAGUGACUGAGUUUUGAAAGGAAAAUUACAUUCCCAUACAACACCUGAAUAAAAAUAGGAAAUAAUGUAGAAAUAAUAAACUAUUUGUUUCAAAUGGUGUUUGAAUUUCCUAAAUUGUACAAAACAAAGAUGUUUUCUCUGCUGGAAUGAAUGCCUGGCAUAGCAGUAGAGUACGAAGCUUCACCCACCACUUGUCAAUCAGCCAUGCAUCAAGUCUAUUGUAUACUAUUCUUGAUGCUGUGAUGGCAUCUAGUGAAACAAAUUUGAUUUCUGAAAUUAUGGAAUUGUAAUUCCCCAGAAAUAAACAUAUUGUUACAAGUUUGUUGCCCAUUAUACUUUAAGGUCUUAUUAAUAGGCAGACAUCAAUUUUUCUGCACAUAUUUAGAAUGAAAUCGAUAUUUUUAUUGUUCAAAAUGAAAUCUGAAGUACAAAUACUCCUAAUUUUUGCCCAAUUGAUUGGCAGCCACUGUGCAGCACCAGAUCAACGAGGUGUUAUCCCUUAAAUCAUUGAACGCCAAACGGAAGCAGCAACUCCCAUCUUUUAACGUCUUUUGGUCUGACGUGGUAGGACCAAAUCUUUUAAUUCUUAAUCUUACAUUUCAUGCAGAAAUAGCAAGAAAUUUAAUCAUAAGUCAUUUUUCAACCAACCUUCAAAUAAAAUUGGCAAUAGGUUAUCACACAUAAUAUAUUUUGCUCUAAGAUGGCAAUAAGCUUUGUAUGAAAAUACACCUUUUCUAUUGGACAAUUUUUAUUUUUCAUUUAAUGAGCGAAACGUAUUUCAUAUUAAAUGAAUCCUCUCAUUUAUAUAAAGAGGGAAAUUUCAUACUUCAUUGCAUAUCUGUUGGGCAUCAAUGGAAAACACAAGCAAAUUCAAAGAUAACAAUAUCUAACAGUAAAAAAAUAUUUAAAAAAAUCAUAGAUACACUUGUGAUUGAUAUCUAUAACAUAUCUAGUUCUCUUUCUUUUUUUUCUUAUUGAAAGUAAGACUCCUAGUACAUGUCAGAGAAAAAUAAGUUGGAAAUUGAGGGAAAUUCAUUUACAACAUCUCGAUUGUGAAUUUACCCCUCAGAACUAUUUAUUCCUUGAAUUUAAAGUCCAAAUAUAAACAAAUGAAGAUAAAUAAAUGAUGAAUUUUACAACAUACACUUCAUAUUGCUAUUAUUUACACUGUUACAUUCUCAAUAUCAUUACACAAUGAAUGAAGUCCCAACAGCAUUUUUUGUAGCAACCUUACUUGGCUUCUUUCCUUGUUAAUCCUCCCAUUGCCACACAUACAAAAAAAAAAUGGUGAGUGGAAAAACUAUGAAAGACACUGAAUGGUUAACAGACUGCUAAAAUAUUUAGUUUAACAAUGUCUUUACAUGAAGGGUGUGGAAUAGGCAUUAAAUUAAGUCAAAUGAGUAUAAGGGGGGGGGUAGCAUGAAACUUAAUUACAAUUGAUGCACAUUUGCAAUUUAUGGAUCAGUUUUAACCAUAGCCAUUAAUUUCAAAUUUCAAUUAAUGCAUCGGAUUCAACUAUAGAAAAAAAUUGAAAUUUGCAAAUUCAAAGUUUUAGUUAAUUGAUAAGUAUUAACUUAAAAUUGAACUCGAAAUUUAACUCAAAAUCUAAUAUCACAUAAUAUCAUUGAGAAAAUGUAGGAUAAUCAAAAUGAAUCCACCUGGUAUGGAGUAUCACCUCUUUCAAAGAUGGGCUUCUGGUUCAAAGUCUUUGGAUGGAGGUCGCCAUUUUUCACGGGGUUAGUUAAAAUUGUGACGUCGGCGACGAACUACAUCUCUAAUACAUGUACAUAUGCCUAUUAUACAUUCUAUUUUUUGAAUAAUAAAUCAAAUAUACCGGUGCACAUUAAACUCAUUAAAAUAUUGAUCCACAAUUUGUUUUUUUUAUUAUAUAGUUUUGAAAUAUGAUUUGAUGAAUUUUGAUAAUAAAUUUUACACCCACAUCUACGAUUUCAAAAUUGGCAAAUUAUGGUUAAUUUGCCAGUUUGCCAGUUUGGAAAAUGUAGAAUCUAUAAUGUAGAUAUCUACUUAGAGAUGUAGUUCAUCACUGACAUCACAAUUUGAACAAACCCCGGGAAAAUGGCAACCUUCAUCCAGAGACUUUGAACCCGAAGAAUAACAAUUAUGAAUAGGUGAAGCUCCUUACCAGGAAAUCGGAUUGGGGUAUAAGUGCACUCAUUUUGAUUGCCCAGUAUUUAUCAAUGAUGUUGAGUUGUAUGAGAUUUUGAGUUUCAUUUUCCUUUAAGUACAUACAUACUUAAUCAAAGGAAAAGUUUGAACCAGACCAACUAAAUUCAAAUUUUGCAAUUAAUGAAUCACUUUUUAACUCUAGAAAAGCAAAAUCAUGCUCUGUUUUGAGAAGCAGAAAAGCAAUCAACUUCAAGAUUGAAAAUGAAGUUUAGGAACAAUUUUAACCUGCAAUUAGUUGUAAAUUCCAUGCAAAGCCUCAGGCUGCGACUGACACAACAUUUUAUCCAGCGACAAUUGCUCUGGGCUGUAUUUUGUCUUUAAGAUAUAGGGUUAGGGUUGCAAUAUGGUGUUAUGUUAGGUUUAGGGUUAGGAUAAAGUGUUUAAGUUGGUAAGUCCAUUAGUGUGUGGAAUUUACAGCAGAGCAAUUGUCGCCAGAGCAAUUGUCGCCAGAGCAUAUG